GACGAACGCUGGCGGCGUGCUUAACACAUGCAAGUCGAACGGUGAGGCGCUGCUUUUGUUGGGUGCUCGAGUUGCGAACGGAAGGGUAACAUGUGAGGAGCCUGCCCUUCACUCUUGGAUAGCUUCAGCAAACGGGGGCUAGUAUCGGAUAGGAUCUCCUGCUUCAUUGGGAGGGUUGGUAUGUUUCGGGGGUUGUUUCUGGGCGCGCGGGUCAUCAGCUUGUUGGGGGGGUAGUGGCUGACGAGGGCUUUGACGGGUAGCCGGCCUGAGAGGGUUACAGGCAACAUUGGGACUGAGACGGGGGGCAGACUCCUACGGGAGGGAGCAGUGGGGGAUAUUGUGAAAUGGGCGGAAGGCGGAUGCAGUAACGGCGCGUGCGGGAUGAAGGCCUUCGGGCUGUAAAGCGGUUUCGCCUGUGACGAAGCGUGAGUGACGGUAAUGGGUAAAGAAGCACCGGCUAACUACGUG
rnacentral:rRNA from 1 species